AAAAAUAGAUGACAUGUUGUCAUAUAACCUCUUCCUGACCACUCCAUUCUGUAAAAACUAGUUAACAAGCUUUACAUAUGGUGUCCUUGGCCAGCCAAUCCAGAACUGAAAAGAUUUUAUUUCCCUUAAGAUAGUUCCCACUGGAACUGCAGUAUUUAUCAAUCAAAAGACAUUUAUCACAGGAGGUUAUCAGACAGAUUUUCUGGAACACAGCCCAGUUGGCCGUACUGUUCCCAGAGGAGGGAGAGGGGACAAAUGAUACUUCCUUUGUACAUUAUAUAUUUGUAUCCAAAGUAAUGGGCCAUGAAUUCAUUCAUGGGUUCCUUCUAGGUAAAUACCAGUUACUCAUUUCCAUUUCAAACUCAGCACAGCCCCAAAGGAUGGCCUUUAAUUUUGGAAUACUGGGUUUCUCAGCAAAGCUGGUAGUCCGCACAUGUAAUUCUGGAGGACAGGAGCACCAGAUCUGGGCUGAUGAGUAUCGUAUUUACCAAGUGGGAGUAUUACAAGUCACAGAUGCUGAGACCAUGAAAUGUUUAUCUCUGAUGCAGUUGGCUAUUUAGAAUGCAAUUUAAAGGGGUCUGGGUUUGUUAUACAACAGAAGGAGAAUGAAAUUAAAGAAGGGUUCCAUGUUCACCUAGUAUUUCCUGCCGAGGCGUUUUAUCAGGUAAUACAUUUCCUCAUGUUUAGAGGCAGAACUAGCACUCCAGCAGGACCCACUCCGCUUCCCCUACAGCCAUAGCACCUGCCAGAGGAGGAGCCGGGGAGGCAUGUUCAAACAGGGAUGCACAGCCUUCAGGGUCAUUACCCCCAACAUCGAUGAGGAGGCCUCCAUGAUGGAAGAUGUGGGCAUGCAGGAUGUCCACUUCAACGAGCCCAAAAUGAAACAGUCAAGGAAAGCUUUUUAAUCCUGCCCAUCUUUUAAAGUUGUCCAGUUCUUCAUGUGGAGAAAAAGAACCAACAGAGAAAAGAGCACCUAUCUGUCCUCUGCCUGCAUUUUAUUAGCUUUCUUUCUCAAGGAUCAUGGUAUGGUUGCACACAGUUAAUAGUUCAUCUUUUAACCAUUUUUGUACCAGUAAGGAGGGCCUGUGACCAAACAUCUCCCAUGAUGUGAAGCAGUCCAUAAACUACUUGGUUUUCAAAAUGUGGUCCUGAACCUUUUCAUGAAGGCUUUGAGGUCCUUACUUUUCCAACCGAAUGUUUAUGUGAGUCUGGAUAUUUUUGUUUGUUUAUAUAUAUCAACCUAAGCAACAGUCAGACAGAUUUAAUGCAGAAGGUAUGAGAAUCCAGGUUCUCCUACAAAGUCAGACAUUAGAGUUGCAAAAAUGUAAAGCACGGCUACUCCUCAUUCUCCCUCUCUCCUUCUCUUCCUCCCUCCCUCCCUCCACCCCUUUCCCUUCCUCCUUUCCUCCUCUCUAUUUUUUUUAAAGUUUCUUUGAAAAAUACCAUUUUCUUUUUUUAUUCAUUAAUAUGUUCUUUACUUUAAAAUGUUAUUUUUUAAGAUAUAGGUUUCUUUUUAAUUACAUUAACAGAUCUUUUACAUCUUUUCAGUUUUCAUUUCUAAUAUUAUAAAUAUUGAGAGAAAAUACCCACAUAAACAAAAGUUCUUUGGAGUCCUUAAUAAAUUGUAAGAUAUGUAAAAGCUUAAGAACCACUGUUGUAAACUGUCUAGUCUCAAAUGGCCUUCAAAAUUAAAAACUAAAUAUGAACAAAGAAGGUAAUAUAUUGAGUGUACUUCAUAAAGUUUAAAUAUUAAGAUAAGUUUCACAACAAUAGAUAAAGUUUUCUAAUUAUCCUUUGGGGAAAUAAGCUGGUUAUUCCAUGGCAUUAACAGCCCUUCUGUCUCCCAUCUUGAAGUGGCUGGAUGGAUUGUGAUUUUUUUACUUCUUAUUCUCAAGUGUGAAACCUAUCUCUGAAGGAACAAAGCCCACAUGCUCUUGGCUUUCAGCUCCC